rnacentral:rRNA from 1 species
UAGUGAUUAACGCGAAGAACCUUACCUGGGCUUGACAUGUGCGGAAAUCCUACGAAAGUAGGCUCCGGGGCAACCCGGCCGCAACACAGGUGCUGCAUGGCUGUCGUCAGCUCGUGCCGUGAGGUGUUGGGUUAAGUCCCGCAACGAGCGCAACCCUUGUCGUGUGUUGGUCCACAAGAUCUCUCACACGAGACCGCCGGUGAGAAGCCGGAGGAAGGUGGGGAUGACGUCAAGUCAGCAUGGCCCUUACGUCCAGGGCUACACACGUGCUACAAUGCGCGCGACAGCGAGCAGCGAACUCGUGAGAGUAAGCCAAUCUCUUAAACGCGCGCUCAGUUCGGAUUGAAGGCUGCAACUCGCCUUCAUGAAGUUGGAAUCGCUAGUAAUCGCGGAUCAGCACGCCGCGGUGAAUACGUUCCCGGGCCUUGUCACACCGAAUCGAAUUC